CUCUUCUCCUCUCCGAGCUAUUUGAAGACUCUAGGAGAGUUUAGAAUUAAAUAUUACGUUAAAUCAAGUUUGAGAUUGAAGUUUUAAAGUAGACUGGAUGUUUAGUAAUCAAAAGUGACUAAGAAGUUAUCGGGUCUGCCUGCGGAUGCCCUUGAAGGACAAGAAUGGGUGAUUUGCAGCUCAUGGUUGGUUAGAAGCAGAGUAAAACAGUUACAUCAUUAUACUGCACUGAAGCACGUGCUUCCACAGUUAAAUAACCUAAAUUACUCUUAUGAAUUAAGAGAAGAGAGUCAAAGAGCUGUAUCUUGGAAGAAACUGGCAUGUUGCACUUAAAGGACUAGAGAAGAGAAGGAUGGAGUCAUAUAGAGACUCAACGUGACGGAGAAACCCUCUGCGGCAGGGAGGGCAGCCAUUACCAAGGCCAUUUACACGUGAGGAGACCGAGGUCAGCGAGUAGCUUUUUGAAGGCUUCCCCUUGGGACAGUGGACUUGGCUGGGUGCUCUUUCUGCUCCAAGGAAGUUAAGUAAUGACUCCUAAGUUCUUCAGGACUCACUAACUCCAAGACCAUUGCAAGCUGCUGUGCUCGCUCCCUCCAUGCCUCUGACCAACCAGAGAAGCCAUUCACCUCUGCCAGGAGUACAAGUAUAGUUACAAAGUGCGCUAUUCACAGCUCUAACCACUGGAAGUACUUGCUUUAUCUUCUGUCCUUAAGGAAUACUCCAGUGUGAAAUUGUAACAGUCCAUCUCCAG
rnacentral:lncRNA from 1 species